rnacentral:rRNA from 1 species
AAGAUACCACUAAAAGUUAAAGUCUUCAUGUGGUAUCUUCGUAGGGGAGUUGUGCUAACCAAAGACAACCUCGCACGGCGCAAUUGGCAAGGGAGUAAGAAGUGUUGUUUUUCUCAUGAUGAGACAAUCAGACACCUCUUUUUCCAAUGCAACUUUGCACGUUCUUUGUGGUCAGUCAUCCAAAUAGCGUCAAAUUUAUAUCCGCCCACAAGUGUUGCCAAAAAAUUUGGUCAUUGGUUGGACGGUAUUUCAAAUAGGUUCAAAACGCUAUUGAGGGUGGGAGCGUAUGCUUAA